AGUGAACGCUGGCGGUAGGCCUAACACAUGCAAGUCGAACGGCAGCACAGUAAGAGCUUGCUCUUACGGGUGGCGAGUGGCGGACGGGUGAGGAAUACAUCGGAAUCUACUUUUUCGUGGAGGAUAACGUAGGGAAACUUACGCUAAUACCGCAUACGACCUACGGGUGAAAGCAGGGGAUCUUCGGACCUUGCGCGAUUGAAUGAGCCGAUGUCGGAUUAGCUAGUUGGCGGGGUAAAGGCCCACCAAGGCGACGAUCCGUAGCUGGUCUGAGAGGAUGAUCAGCCACACUGGAACUGAGACACGGUCCAGACUCCUACGGGAGGCAGCAGUGGGGAAUAUUGGACAAUGGGCGCAAGCCUGAUCCAGCCAUACCGCGUGGAUGAAGAAGGCCUUCGGGUUGUAAAGCCCUUUUGUUGGGAAAGAAAAGCAGCAGGUUAAUACCCCGCUGUUCUGACGGUACCCAAAGAAUAAGCACCGGCUAACUUCGUG
rnacentral:rRNA from 1 species